rnacentral:tRNA from 1 species
GCGCAGGUGGCGGAAUUGGUAGACGCAUCAGCUUGAGGGGCUGACGGCAGCAAUGUUGUGGGGGUUCGAGUCCCCCCCUGCGCACCA